rnacentral:lncRNA from 1 species
UUACCAGAUACGGUCAAUUGAUUUGGGUACGUUGACCAAAACCAAUUGAUUACAAGCAACUUAGGUACUAUUUGGUUUUCCUGUUGCUCACAUCUAAACUGUUUUUAUAUACUUGUUAUCUGAAAUAUCACUCAGGUAUUUUGUUAACUGUUAUGUAUUUUUGCGAUUUCAGGAGGUGAAAGUUGAUGUUGAGGAAGAAUUAAUCCAUCCCCUGACGACUGCACGAAUCAAAACGAUGCUUCCCUACUCUCAAAGUUUGCUGAUUGUAGUAUUACCUAUGUUGUCGUUGUGAUAAAGGUUGAACAAAGUUUCUCCUUCCUUUAAAUAUCUGUUGUAUGUAGUAUCUUGAGAUUGUGGGGAC